GAUGAACGCUGGCGGCGUGCUUAACACAUGCAAGUCGAGCGAAGCACUUAUGAAAGAUUCUUCGGAUGAAUUCAUUUGUGACUGAGCGGCGGACGGGUGAGUAACGCGUGGGUAACCUGCCUCAUACAGGGGGAUAACAGUUGGAAACGACUGCUAAUACCGCAUAAGCGCACAGUACCGCAUGGUACAGUGUGAAAAACUCCGGUGGUAUGAGAUGGACCCGCGUCUGAUUAGCUAGUUGGUGGGGUAACGGCCUACCAAGGCGACGAUCAGUAGCCGACCUGAGAGGGUGACCGGCCACAUUGGGACUGAGACACGGCCCAAACUCCUACGGGAGGCAGCAGUGGGGAAUAUUGCACAAUGGGGGAAACCCUGAUGCAGCAACGCCGCGUGGGUGAAGAAGUAUUUCGGUAUGUAAAGCUCUAUCAGCAGGGAAGAAAAUGACGGUACC
rnacentral:rRNA from 1 species